GGGCCAUUAGCUCAGAUGGUUAGAGCGCACGCCUGAUAAGCGUGAGGUCCGCCGUUCGAUUCGGCGAUGGCCCACCA
rnacentral:tRNA from 2 species